GCAGAGCACUCCACGGGAGGCAGCAGUGGGGAAUAUUGCACAAUGGGGCGCAAGCCUGAUGCAGCCAUGCCGCGUGUAUGAAGAAGGCCUUCGGGUUGUAAAGUACUUUCAGCAGUGAGGAAGGUGGGUAUGUUAAUAGCAUACUCAUUUGACGUUAGCUGCAGAAGAAGCACCGGCUAACUCCGUGCCAGCAGCCGCGGUAAUACGGAGGGUGCGAGCGUUAAUCGGAAUUACUGGGCGUAAAAGCGCAUGCAGGUGGUUUGUUAAGUCAGAUGUGAAAGCCCGGGGCUCAACCUCGGAAUUGCAUUUGAAACUGGCAAACUAGAGUACUGUAGAGGGGGUAGAAUUUCAGGUGUAGCGGUGAAAUGCGUAGAGAUCUGAAGGAAUACCGGUGGCGAAGGCGGCCCCCUGGACAGAUACUGACACUCAGAUGCGAAAGCGUGGGGAGCAAACAGGAUUAGAUACCCUGGUAG
rnacentral:rRNA from 1 species